rnacentral:rRNA from 1 species
GUAGGUGGCAAGCGUUGUCCGGAAUUAUUGGGCGUAAAGCGCGCGCAGGCGGUUCUUUAAGUCUGAUGUGAAAGCCCACGGCUCAACCGUGGAGAGUCAUUGGAAACUGGGGAACUUGAGUACAGAAGAGGAAAGCGGAAUUCCACGUGUAGCGGUGAAAUGCGUAGAGAUGUGGAGGAACACCAGUGGCGAAGGCGGCUUUCUGGUCUGUAACUGGCGCUGAGGCGCGAAAGCGUGGGGAGCAAACAGGAUUAGAUACCCUGGUAGUCCACGCCGUAAACGAUGAGUGCUAAGUGUUAGGGGGUUUCCGCCCCCCUUAGUGCUGCAGCUAACGCAUUAAGCACUCCGCCUGGGAGUACGGCCGCAAGGCUG